UUGAGAUUAAGAAAUCAAAUAUUCUAUAAAAUGUAAAUACACUGAACUUAUUUGGAUAUAUUUAAGUGAGACUCUACAAUAUUAUUUAUGACACAAAUCUGUCUAAAUCAAAAUUUUAAUCAUUUUUACUCCAAACAUUUACUGGACUGAUUUAAAUAUUAAAAUCACUCCUUUCUAAUCCUCUGCUGUACUUUCAAACCUGAGGCCUUAAAUAGAAACACACAAGUAUCUGAUUGAAGGAACUUCUGCAGAGUCCUGGUUCCAGAACAUGAUGAUAGAAUUAUAGACAAACUUUAACAAAAGCUGCCUGAGAGUUUACAGGUUUUUAUGUUGGAUUUCUUCAGUAAUUUAAUGAGUUAUCAGCAAAAAUCAAGUGUUCAUUUGAUGAACUUCAUUUCCUAAAACAUACAGAAUUGGAGCUCAUAUCUUUGGCAGCUGUAAAGUUUCUGCUUCUUCAAAGUUCACAACACAAUGAAUGAAUUCCUAAAACACUCUCAAUGCUGGAGAGCGUUUGAUGCUGAAGCAGUGACCAGUUUUUCUGUUUCUUCUCUGGAGAUGCACAAUGAGGGACGUCUGCAGAGACUGAGAAAGAGUCUCACCACAUCCUUACAUGAGGAAAAAGACUUUAUUGAAGACUACAAUGAGAAAAACUAUCAGACAGCAGACGGCAUGCAUUCAAGAGAGGAAGACCAUCAAACAUCCACGUCAGCUGAUGGAGGUCCAAGAGUCUCACCCAACAAACAACCUACAGAGUGAAGACCUUGAAUCUGAUUGGAUGGCCUCCUAUUCAGCCACGUGUGAACAAAUGCCUCUAAGCUGAUUUGUUUUCUAAAAUAAAUCUGGUUUGAGUCC
ensembl:lncRNA